rnacentral:tRNA from 1 species
CGGCCCAUAGUUCAAUGGGAGGACGGCGGAAGCAAGUACGGGUUCGAUUCCCGUUGGGUCCG